ensembl:lncRNA
AAGAACACAUCUCUAACAGAAUCUUGUUCACUCUUUAGAUUUGCUGUACCACACAAUAAAACAACUAGAUCAUGGGACAAAAGAAAGAGAUUAUUUAUACUGGAUCUGUGUCUGCAAGCUGCACUCCAUCAGAAAGAGACAAUAGAAGAAACUGUGAAGAAACUGCUAUCAUCUGUGGAUUAUGAAAAAUCUGAUUUCCUGCUGGAUCUGUACUCACAUGUGAAGGACUAUGACACUCAAACAGGCAGGAGUGUCCUUCCAGCAUUACAGCCAAUUUAUCAGUCAGCUCCUGCAGUCUGGAGCAUAAAGCUCUCAGAGAGAAAGAGCUCCAUCCUCCUAGAAGUGCUGAAACUCCAAACAGAGAAGAAACCAGUAGAGCUGAGAGACUGGACAGAUGAAGAGAGUGAAGUGAAGGGAUUCCUCCAGUGUCUGCCCUACAUCUCACAGCUGAGAAUUGAUGAAUCUGAUUACAGUAUUGAGAGGAAAUCUGCUGCUCAGUUUCUGCUGAAUCUGACUGUUGCAGCUUUGAAGUGUGUUACAACUACAGGAGAGAAUUACAUUGAGCUGUUAGCAUCAGUGUGCAGCUACACAUCAUUUCUCUGUAAUGAUAAUGAAUGGCUUGAUGAUGAGUAUAAGAUUAUGUGUGACGAAGAGCAUUGUAAUUUCCUGCUGGAUCUGUGUUCACAUGUGAAGAACUAUGAGACUCAAACAGACAGGAGUGUCCUUCCAGCAUUACAGCCAAUUUAUCAGUCAGCUCCUGCAGUCUGGAGAAUAAAGCUCUCAGAGAGAAAGAGCUCCAUCCUCCUAGAAGUGCUGAAACUCCAAACAGAGAAGAAACCAGUAGAGCUGAGAGACUGGACAGAUGAAGAGAGUGAAGUGAAGGGAUUCCUGCAGUGUCUGCCCUACAUCUCACAGCUGAGAGACUGGACAGAUGAAGAGAGUGAAGUGAAGGGAUUCCUGCAGUGUCUGCCCUACAUCUCUGAUUUAAGGUCUGUAUUUAAUACAAUUUAACUUUAAUUUGAAGUUGGAUAAAAACAUUGUAAUUUGUGCAUGUUUAAAAUUAUUGUGUGUAAUUCUUUUUUUUUGACAAUGUGAUUCCAAACUCUAAAAUCUAUUAAUAAGCUUUUUCUUUCAACUAAAAAAAUCCAUUAUUCUGAAUCAGUUUUCUUUGGAGUAACAACACUAAAGAGUGUCACACACCAGAUCUAGCAGGCAGAUGAUAUGCAGCGUCUUAGAAUUUGAAAUCAUUGUUUUCUGUGAAUAUACACACACCGGCACUGCUAUUUGUCAUCCAUCAGUGUCUCCCAGAUAUGUUUUGGUGGGCUAUUCAAAAUCACUUUCGAACACAGAGGGGCCAAUGAUAGUCGAGUAUCAGUUGCAUGGGGAGUGGAACUCGGACAUCUGUAGGUUUCAGUGCCAUAGAGAAACAUUGGAGGACCCGAAGCUUGCAUUGGUUUUAUGGUAUUUAUGCUGCAAAAAUGGAAAAAGAUGUGCCUGGGGUAUUUGUAACACUGAUUCCAGGUAUCCUGAGAGGAUAUGCAAUAGAAUUUAUUUUAUUACAUUUCCUAAACCCAAACAAAACAAAGCAAAAUGUCCAUAAGCAUUUAAUCCCAAUCCCAAUGAAGAGAAAAACGUUCAUUUUCUGGUUGUCAUACUCUCAUUAAGUUACAAUUUUCAUCUGCUCCAGCAGAACGCUGUUAUCUUGUGUUUCAGCAAGGUAUCUCUGGCUAAAACUAACAUUAAAGUUAGUCCGUCCAUACUAAUGUACAAACCUAAAUAGCGGACACAGGGCUCCAGACUGCGACCAAAUGGUUGCAUUUUGCGACCAUUUUUUCUUCCGGUGCGACUAAUUUUUGUGAGCGGUCGCACUGGCGCGACCACCAUGUUGUCCAGCUCACAAGCACUGCCAUUUUUGUUGCAUUUGAGAAACCUCAAAUGGCAAACGAAAGCGAAACUAAACUGCGCUACAUUUCAGCUGCAGCGCAGACCGUUUAUCAGCUCAGACCACAAUGCAAACAAACUUCCCGAGCUCAGAAGCAAAGUUGAUUUACUCGGAAGCAAAGUUGAUUUCGCGACACUGUUACUGCACAGAUGCAACAGUGCUGCGAGAUCCAGUGAGAAGUGUUUGAAUUCGCUGCUCAUUGAAAAGGUUGUGUGAAAUCUCUAAAAUGGUCCAGUUUGAAAGUAAUUUUUAAUGGGAUGAUCAAAAUAUACUUUGUGGUAAACAAACACUUUUGUAAAAUAAAAAUAAAAACAUCAAAACA